GGUAAGGUGGCUGAAUUAAGUGGUGGGUUGUAGCCCCAUAAAUAGAGGUUCGAGUCCUCUCCUUAUCA
rnacentral:tRNA from 1 species